CCUACGGGAGGCAGCAGUGAGGAAUAUUGGUCAAUGGACGAGAGUCUGAACCAGCCAAGUAGCGUGAAGGAUGACUGCCCUAUGGGUUGUAAACUUCUUUUAUAUGGGAAUAAAAUGCUCCACGUGUGGGAUGUUGUAUGUACCAUAUGAAUAAGGAUCGGCUAACUCCGUGCCAGCAGCCGCGGUAAUACGGAGGAUCCGAGCGUUAUCCGGAUUUAUUGGGUUUAAAGGGAGCGUAGGUGGAUUGUUAAGUCAGUUGUGAAAGGUUGCGGCGUAACCGUAAAAAUGCAGAUGAAACUGGCAGUGGUGAGUGCAGUAGAGGGAGGCGGAAUUGGAGG
rnacentral:rRNA from 1 species